UCAGGUUAUUCUCAAUGGUGCUGCUAUUUCACUGAUUUGAAGGUUCAGAAGAAAAAGUCUGCAUCCAGGGGCCGGCCCGGUGGUGCAGCGAAGUUUGCACGUUCUGCUUCAGCGGCCCGAGGAUUGCCAGUUCGGAUCCCGGUUGUGGACGUGGCACCACUUGGCAAGCCAUGCUGUGAAGAUCAGGGACAUGGAGUGAGGCAUAAGCCAUUGAAAGCUGCCCUGGCUUUUCCCUUCACGGUACACUGGGAGACACCAUGUGGUGCGAGGCAUUCAUUUGCAGUCUUUUAUUUCCAGAAACUGUGUGAAUCCAAGCUGGAUAUGGGCUUCUGAGGAGUGCAUCAGCUUCUUAAUCCCCACCUGACGCCAUCCUUUGCUGUUUGAAAAAAUAUUAUCCACGCCAGCAGCCAAUUUUGGGAGCUAUGUUCUACUCUGCUUCCUAAUUCUGGCAUUCAAUACCUUAUGAGGGCUGGAGCCCCAGGAGCCAUGGAAGCCAGUAUUGGAAUGGUGGGUCAGAAAGAUGGCAGGAGCUGGGUUCUCUGCUGCUCAUGGAGCUGUCAUAUCAAUCCUGUACUGCCUUCCUACAUUCUUCUUUGAUAUGAGAGGGAAAUAAAGCUUUAACU
rnacentral:lncRNA from 1 species